rnacentral:rRNA from 1 species
UACAGAGGGGGCAAGCGUUGUUCGGAAUUACUGGGCGUAAAGGGCGCGUAGGCGGCCUGCUAAGUCGAACGUGAAAUCCCUGGGCUCAACCCAGGAACUGCGUCCGAUACUGGCUGGCUUGAAUUCGGGAGAGGGAUGCGGAAUUCCAGGUGUAGCGGUGAAAUGCGUAGAGAUUGGGAAGAACACCAGUGGCGAAGGCGGCUAUCUGGACGGUUUCUGACGCUAAGACGCGAAAGCGUGGGGAGCAAACAGG